rnacentral:rRNA from 1 species
AUUGAACGCUGGCGGCAGGCUUAACACAUGCAAGUCGAGCGAGCGGCGGACGGGUGAGUAAUGUCUGGGAAACUGCUUGAUGGUGGGGGAUAACUACUGGAAACGGUAGCUAAUACUGCAUACCAUCAGAUGUGCCCAGAUGGGAUUAGCUAGUAGGUGGGGUAAUGGUUCACUUAGGCGACGAUCCCUAGCUGGUCUGAGAGGAUGACCAGCCACACCGGAACUACGACACAGUCCAGACUCAUACGAGAGGCAGCAGUGGGGAAUAUUGCACGAUGGGCGCAAGCAUGAUGCAGCCAUGCCGCGUGUGUGAAGAAGGCCGUCGGGUUGUAAAGCACUUUCAGCGAGGAGGCGUUACUCGCAGAAGAAGCACCGGCUAACUCCGUGCCAGCGGCCGCGGUAAUAC